rnacentral:rRNA from 1 species
GGGGAAUAUUGGACAAUGGGGGCAACCCUGAUCCAGCAAUGCCGCGUGAGUGAUGAAGGCCUUCGGGUUGUAAAGCUCUUUUGCCAGGGACGAUGAUGACGGUACCUGGAGAAUAAGCCCCGGCUAACUCCGUGCCAGCAGCCGCGGUAAUACGGAGGGGGCUAGCGUUGUUCGGAAUUACUGGGCGUAAAGCGCACGUAGGCGGCUUUGUAAGUUAGAGGUGAAAGCCUGGAGCUCAACUCCAGAACUGCCUUUAAGACUGCAUCGCUUGAAUCCAGGAGAGGUGAGUGGAAUUCCGAGUGUAGAGGUGAAAUUCGUAGAUAUUCGGAAGAACACCAGUGGCGAAGGCGGCUCACUGGACUGGUAUUGACGCUGAGGUGCGAAAGCGUGGGGAGCAAA